CUGCCACCUCCUCCCCUCUUCUCCAUAUCCUCCCUGCUCUCCUUUUUCCCCUCUUCACAUCCAAGAAGUUGGACAUUCAUCUGGCAAAGGUACAAGGCAUGGUGAUGCCUGGAACAGAAGGCUGCAGGACAUCUUCGACAGGCUGCUGCUCCAACUUCAGAAGGAGUUCUGAAGUACUUCCAAAUCAGAUAUUGAUCUAAUUUUUGGAGCAUAAAAUU
rnacentral:lncRNA from 1 species